rnacentral:rRNA from 1 species
GAGUACGACCGCAAGGUUGAAACUCAAAGGAAUUGACGGGGGCCCGCACAAGCGGAGGAACAUGUGGUUUAAUUCGAUGAUACGCGAGGAACCUUACCCGGGCUCGAACGGUGCAGGAAUAUGUCAGAGAUGGCAUAGCUAGCAAUAGUCUGUAUCGAGGUGCUGCAUGGUUGUCGUCAGCUCGUGCCGUGAGGUGUCGGCUUAAGUGCCAUAACGAGCGCAACCCUUGUCGUUAGUUGCCAUCAGGUAAUGCUGGGAACUCUAGCGAGACUGCCACCGUAAGGUGUGAGGAAGGGGGGGAUGACGUCAAAUCAGCACGGCCCUUACGUCCGGGGCGACACACGUGUUACAAUGGUAGGUACAGAGGGCAGCUACCCAGCAAUGGGGUGCGAAUCUCAAAAGCCUAUCUCAGUUCGGAUCGGAGUCUGCAACUCGACUCCGUGAAGUUGGAUUCGCUAGUAAUCGCGCAUCAGCCAUGGCGCGGUGAAUACGUUCCCGGGCCUUGUACACACCGCCCGUCAAGCCAUGGAAGCCGAGGGUGCCUGAAGUUCGUGACCGCAAGGAGCGACCUAGGGCAAAAUUGGUAACUGGGGCUAAGUCGUAACAAGGUAACCAAG